rnacentral:lncRNA from 1 species
UAGCUAAAGUGAAGCAGAGUAUCAAGCAAUCAUCUGGGGACUUUGAUUAACAUGGACAACAAAUCUGAAUAAUCCAUGUCCUGAGAGUCCUGGUUUUUGUCUAGCUCAGAACACAUUACUAAUGAGGUUAAAGUUACUGUAGGUUUGUUCCUUGAAUGGGGGCAGUUAGUUGUGAUCUGUUCCAUGGCCACAAAAUGCACCUCUAACCUCAGCCAGCUGUCUUGGAAAAUGAGUGUCCUUGGUCAUACAGGCAGUCAUGCAAGAAACCUAACAACCAAUCUCUACCAGUUGGAAAGUAAAAUAAAAUGUAUUUCCUGUGGACAGUAGGUCAGCAGUGACAUUUUUGUGUAAAAUAAUAAUUGUAACAAUAAUUCUUACAUAGCUCUUACUCUGUGCCAACAGUGUUCUAAGCACUUUUUACAUACAUUAACUUACAGUGUUCACACUCCUGUGUAUUAUUGGUAUACACAUUUUACAAAUGAGGAAAUGGAGGCACAGAAAGGCUAUUUUGCCCCACAUAAAAAUAGAUGACAUUUUAAUCUUUUCUAGGUAUUUUGCCACUCUAUCAAGAAAGUUAAGGACUCUCAAGCUUUUGGAUGCUUAGAAAAUACAUCAGAGGAGGACAGAAACUCAGAUAUCUCUGCAUCCUGAAUUCAUUGGUGGAAUUGCUACUGUGCCCAGUAAAAGCAUUUCAGUCAUGCAAGGAGAGGAUGUUAAGGUAAAGGAAUGAAACCGAAGACCAGAAAGUGGUAAAAAGCAGCAGUGAAGAAACCAAAACUAAAACAAACCAGCAAAGACCAUAUUCAGCUCACAGCCUUUCAGGAACUGAAGUAGAUCAUUGGCCCAGACUCUCCACUGAAUCCGAAGAAUGCUUUGCAGGGGAUGUUCAGAGGCUUACCUGAGAAUGAGAGAAAAAGAAAUGAGCAAAUGACUCCUGAUUAUCAGUGGGAGACAGGAAGCGACCAUUUAACAUCCAAAGGAAAACUCAGAGGACUGUGACCAAAGAAGAGGUCAUGUGCACCACAGCAAGAUGGCAGCUACCUACAAGUCAAGAGAAGAGACCUUCAGAAUAAAACCUAUCUUGCUGGCACCUUGAUCUUGGACUUCUCAGCCUCCAGAACUGUGAGGAAAAAAUUUUUGUUGAUUAAGCCACCCAGUUUAUGGUGCUUUGUUGAUAGCCUGAGUAAACUAAGACAGGGUAUAAUAUUUUGCUAUGUUUG